CAUAUUCUAGGGUUUUGUAUCUUCUCAAGUUGAAGUUUGGUUAUCUAUUUCCUUUGUACAUCUUUUUGCUGAGAUCAACUAUUGUUCCUUCAGAGGAUGGGGAGAGCAUCGAUUUAUGCCUUUUAGAUUUCUUUAGUUAAUAUUUUCAUCUUUGCUUCACUUCUUUUGUUUUCUGAUUUCUACUAUUGUGUUGUGAUUUCUACCUCUGAUAAUUUGUUUCUUCCACAGAAGGCAUUUUUCCUUUCACAGGGAAGGAAAUGAUUGAUUGGAUUCUUGGUAUACAGUACAACUAACAUUCUUAUGAUUAAUUUCUCUCUGUUUUUUCUUGUGUAGACUGGAAAAUGGUUCAGAAGUAUUCCAAUUUGAAUUUCUACUUUUAGCUGCUUUAAUUUUGUUGUGCAUCGCCCCUGUUUUGUGCGUUAUUUAGUUGGUAAAGAUGGACAUGCCAUUUAUAUGUGUUUGGGUGCAUGAUGUAAUUUUUUUUGUUUAAUACCAUGUGUGGGAAUCAAUACCGAGUAUGCAUGACAAACAUAGACAAGAAUAUUGUCACAGACAAAAAUAUCGACAAAAAACGUUUUGCACAUCGGACCUAAGAACACAUUUAUUCUAUUUAUGGAAUUUUAAUGGCUAUGGGUCACAUUUUGCUGUGGUAUUAAUUGUCUCAUAAUCAGUCAAAAGAUUGAAAGUUUUGUACUAAACCUCUGGCCAUUCUUCCAAGAAUGGAUUUUUAAAAUUCGGUGUUUCUAUCUAUAAAAUGUGAUAAAAAACAAGAUUUUUUGGUAGCCUUCCAGUACUUAGGGUGAGAGGCUUAUUUGAUCUGAGUUGAGAUCUUAUUUUUCAAUGUUUUUGGACUUCCUCUUUAAUGUGAAGACUACUACUAUCAUAAAAAUUACUUUAUGCGACUUGAUGGAUCGUUGCCUUCAGAUUAUAGUUGAGUGCGAUUAAAACUGAGGGAGGUCCAUAUGAUUGAAGUCCUAAUUGAAUAAAAUGAUAAUUCUUGGGGGUUAAAAGCUGAGGGAAAAAAUGUUAUAUGAAUUAGUCCAAGAAGUUUAGAUAUUUUUCCAUAAAAGCUCUAUUGUAUUACUAGAUAUUUAGAUUCCUCAUCAGUUGAUUUGUAUUACUACAUAUUCAGAUUCUCCUUUUCUUCUAAUCUACCGAUAUGAUACUAAGAAAGAAACUGGAGGUUCAUUUUGUAUAGAAUACUAUUCAGAUUAUUAGUUGUCACUAAACUUAAAUAUAGGAUGUCAUAAAAUGAUAGCAUUAAAAGCAUGAGUGUGCUGUUGAAAGUCUAAGAGACACUUCCCUUUAGCUUCUUUUUUAUUUUUUUAUACUUUAUUUUAUCUCUGUAUUGCCUCUUGAUAGAGUUCUUUGGGUUUACAAGAUAUCACAAAAAAUUGAUUCACUACUUCUUUAAUGUAAAAACAUGUUGUCAUUGCAGUCCAUGGAUUUACGGAAUUUAUCAGGAUUUACUACUUCUAGAAUCAUGUUUUAUACUCAAUUUUUUUUUUUAUUAUAUGUGGUUAUGGUAUUAUGAAAAGGGAAAAGGUCAUUUGAAUGAUCCAUCUUGGUAAGCUUAUUAGGGUGCUCACCACUUUUUAGUCACGUGUGGAAUGUCAGUAAAAUGUUUUGGUUCUUCCCUACAUGGAGCCAAUCAUAUCUUUAUUUACUUUAUCCUGAGUAAUUAUAACUUUUUAAGAGUUAAAAUAUGUAUUUUCAUGUAUUACACAUGCCAUCAAAGAGUUUCCAUCUGUAUUUCAACUUUCAAUUGUUGAUUUCACCAUAUCUAUCCUAUAAAUGACUUGAUAAUCCUCCGGCCUUUUUUUUUUUUUUUUUUGCUAAAUAUCAGCAAUAAUUAUGUUACUAAAAUAAGGAAAUGGAUGUACAGAGAUAAAUUUAUCUCGGGCAUUCCCAGACUGGAAGAAUAUACAAAUUGAUUAAAUCUCCACCUUCGGCAUUGCCAUCAGUAGAGAAAACCAACUUAAGACUAAUCAAAUUACUUGAGGAUUGUUUUCCAUUAAUGUAGUUGAAAUGGCAGCAGAUGUGCUCACUUGGAGGUGUGAGAAUUCAGUUUGAAGCUCUGUCACCUCAUUCGUGCGUCUCAUGGGCAGUGAGCAUCCCCCAUUGUCAAGCUAAAAAAUUUCAUUCCCAUUGGGACUAGUCAAUACUUCUUGCUUAUCCUGUUUCCUAUACAAUCUCUCACCUUCAGAUGAAUUUGUUAUUUCUUGAAUUAUCUGGCCCUUCUCUGGUGUUACCGUUGCAAACUGUAUGGAUGCAACCCCGUCUGAGGGAUAGUCAGCCAUUGUUUUGGGUGUGAAUUAAGAUCAUAACUGUGAUGAAGAACUGGUAAUCCAUCUGUAAUCAAAAAAUUACUACAGAGGAACAGUAGAACAAUCAUAGGAAGGAAAGUAAACAAAUUGGAGUAAUAAGAGAAGACCUUGUGUUAACUCACUCAGAGGCUCAGAUUGGCAAUUGCUGUUAUUCCAGAACUCAGAGUUGGUUGAGCGAUCUUGGUUCAUAUUAUAAUUGCUUGCAUAAUAAUAGAUGAGGAAAAAAGAUAUAAAUUGGGCAUUCCCAGACUGGAAGAAAAUAAGACUUUGAUUAAAUCUCCACCUUCGGCGUUGCCAUCAGCAGAGAAAAUCAACUCAAGACUAAUCAAAUUACUUAAGGAUCCACCUUUGGCAGAAACUGAAAAGCAAAAGAAAGACGAAGCAUCCCAGAGAAAGUCAUAUACGAUCAUUUCAAAUUCUGCCAUCAUGUCCCUUGCUGCAAGAUUUCCCCUGCAGUCAAACAGCAAUAAGAGAGCAUAUUGUAGAAUGAGAAGUGGAUAAGAGCAAUGAUCUGAUGAUGGUGUAGCCUGCGAAGAAUUGCCUUGCUUGUUCUUUCUCAACAAAUGGUACAUGAGAUUGCUAUUGGGAUCAUUUUGACGUUUUGACAUAGAUUGUGAGCCACACUGCUAAAUGGCACACGUUUUGCUACUGAUUUCCUCUGCUUGAGCAUGUCGUUGGAUGAGAGGAUGGCUGUUUUUGCCAUUGCUUAGGCUGGAACAUGGCUUCAUUUCUCUUCCUUGGUCUUCCAAGUCAAAAUUUAGCACCUGCCUCCCCUACAGCCUCUGCAAGUGGAUUUUCUGAGGUUUCGAGGCCUUUCGUCCUCACAUGCUUCCUCUUCCCUGUUGGGUUCUGUUUGUCACUUGCCAGCUUUGGAGUCACGGGCUUCGGAGUCCUUUUGCAUUUGCCUUGUACGACGACUGUGGGCCUGUGCUUCUUCCUUUUAGGCGUUUGCUGUGGUGUCUUGUUCAGAUCAAAGCUAUUGUCGCCUACCUUUCCAAAGUCAUGGUUUUCCUUUAGUGUGGUUGAAACUUGAAACAGAAACGGAAGAUGUGCCCACCAGGAUAUGUGAGAGUUCACUUUGAAGCUUAACCACCUCGCUCAUGCAACUCAUGGGCCUUGAACAGCCCCCAUUGUUGGGCUUGAUCGCUUCGUUCCUGUUGGGAGUAACAAAAACUCCUGCUUAUCCUUGUACAAUCUUUCACCUACAGAUAAAUCUGCCCUUUCAGACCAUGGCUGGUCCUGAAUUAUCUGGUCCAUAUCUGGUGUUAAAAGUCCAAACCGCAUGGACAUGGCCCUGUUCGAGACACCAUCAGCUAUUGUUUUGCGCAGUGAAUUAUGAUCAUAGCUUUUGAUGGUGAACUGGAAAUCUAUCUAUAAAGCAUGUCAAAAAGAAAAAAAGGAGCACAAACAAUUUUUUCUCCCAUUAUUGUGAUCGAUUCAUAGUUUCAAUCCGAUUACACGGGGUGAUUUUUUGUCAUGACGGGUUUCCUCAUACAUGAUAUUGUUCACUUGAUCAAGGGAAUAAGGCAUGUGAUUCUGAUUUAUCUAGUAUUUGUCAUGGCGGAUUUUGAGGGGAGGGUUUUUGUACUCUAGUGAAUCCACCUAUUUGGUGAGGUGUUUUGUAAUCUAAGAGGGAUUUUUCUUUUGAUGAUUGGUAGCCUCUAAUAUUAACUAGAGAAUGUCAUACCACGUUAUUUACAA